AAUAGAUACCCAGGUAGUCCACGCCGUAAACGAUGAGUACUAGGUGUAGGAGGGUCCAACCUUCUGUGCCGCAGUUAACACAAUAAGUACUCCGCCUGGGAAGUACGAUCGCAAGAUUAAAACUCAAAGGAAUUGACGGGGGCCCGCACAAGCAGCGGAGCAUGUGGUUUAAUUCGAAGCAACGCGAAGAACCUUACCUGGACUUGACAUCCCCUGAAUUACUCGUAAUGGAGGAAGCCCUUCGGGGCAGGGAGACAGGUGGUGCAUGGUUGUCGUCAGCUCGUGUCGUGAGAUGUUAGGUUAAGUCCUGCAACGAGCGCAACCCUUAUCAUUAGUUGCUACCAUUAAGUUGAGCACUCUAGUGAGACUGCCCGGGUUAACCGGGAGGAAGGUGGGGAUGACGUCAAAUCAUCAUGCCCCUUAUGUCCAGGGCUACACACGUGCUACAAUGGUGAGUACAAUUAGAUGCAAACCCGCGAGGGGAGCCAAACUAAAAAACUACAUCCCAGUUCGGAUUGUAGGCUGAAACUCGCCUACA
rnacentral:rRNA from 1 species